GGGGCUGUAGCUUAGAGGUAGAGCACUUGCAUCACACGUAUGAGGAACUGGGUUCAAGCCUCAGCACCACA
rnacentral:tRNA from 1 species